rnacentral:rRNA from 1 species
ACGGGAGGCAGCAGUGGGGAAUAUUGGGCAAUGGGGGAAACCCUGACCCAGCAACGCCGCGUGAAGGAAGAAGGCCUUCGGGUUGUAAACUUCUUUUACCAGGGACGAUAAUGACGGUACCUGGAGAAAAAGCAACGGCUAACUACGUGCCAGCAGCCGCGGUAAUACGUAGGUUGCAAGCGUUGUCCGGAUUUACUGGGUGUAAAGGGCGUGUAGGCGGAGCUGCAAGUCAGAUGUGAAAUCCCGGGGCGCAACCCCGGAACUGCAUUUGAAACUGUAGCCCUUGAGUAUCGGAGAGGCAAGCGGAAUUCCUAGUGUAGCGGUGAAAUGCGUAGAUAUUAGGAGGAACACCAGUGGCGAAGGCGGCUUGCUGGACGACAACUGACGCUGAGGCGCGAAAGCGUGGGAAGCAAACAGGAUUAGAUACCCUGGUA